GAGUGAUCGAAAGAUGAAAAGCACUUUGAAAAGAGAGUUAAACAGCACGUGAAAUUGUUGAAAGGGAAGCGCUUGCAACCAGACUCGCUCGCGGGGUUCAGCCGGGCUUCGGCCCGGUGUACUUCCCCGCGGGCGGGCCAGCGUCGGUUUGGGCGGCCGGUCAAAGGCCUCCGGAAUGUAGCGCCCUUCGGGGCGCCUUAUAGCCGGGGGUGCAAUGCGGCCAGCCUGGACCGAGGAACGCGCUUCGGCACGGACGCUGGCAUAAUGGUUGUAAACGACCC
rnacentral:rRNA from 1 species